rnacentral:rRNA from 1 species
GACGAACGCUGGCGGCGUGCUUAACACAUGCAAAUCGAACGGAAAGGCCCUGCUUUUGUGGGGUGCUCGAGUGGCGAACGGGUGAGUAACACGUGAGUAACCUGCCCUUGACUUUGGGAUAACUUCAGGAAACUGGGGCUAAUACCGGAUAGGAGCUCCUGCUGCAUGGUGGGGGUUGAAAAGUUUCGGCGGUUGGGGAUGGACUCGCGGCUUAUCAGCUUGUUGGUGGGGUAGUGGCUUACCAAGGCUUUGACGGGUAGCCGGCCUGAGAGGGUGACCGGCCACAUUGGGACUGAGAUACGGCCCAGACUCCUACGGGAGGCAGCAGUGGGGAAUAUUGCACAAUGGGCGGAAGCCUGAUGCAGCAACGCCGCGUGCGGGAUGACGGCCUUCGGGUUGUAAACCGCUUUCGCCUGUGACGAAGCGUGAGUGACGGUAAUGGGUAAAGAAGCACCGGCUAACUACGUG